UACAGAGGGGGCCAGCGUUAUUCGGAAUUACUGGGCGUAAAGCGUGCGCAGGCGGUUUUGUAAGUCAGAUGUGAAAGCCCCGGGCUCAACCUGGGAAUGGCAUUUGGGACUGCAAGGCUGGAGUUUGGCAGAGGAGACUGGAAUUCCUGGUGUAGCAGUGAAAUGCGUAGAUAUCUGGAGGAACACCGGUGGCGAAGGCGGCAUCCUGGACCAACACUGACACUGAGGAGCGAAAGCCAGGGGAGCAAACGGG
rnacentral:rRNA from 1 species